UGGGGAAUUUUCCGCAAUGGGCGAAAGCCUGACGGAGCAAUACCGCGUGAGGGAGGAAGGCUCUUGGGUUGUAAACCUCUUUUCUCAGGGAAGAACAGAAUGACGGUACCUGAGGAAUAAGCAUCGGCUAACUCCGUGCCAGCAGCCGCGGUAAUACGGAGGAUGCAAGCGUUAUCCGGAAUGAUUGGACGUAAAGGGUCCGCAGGUGGCAUAGUAAGUCUGCUGUUAAAGAGUCACGCUCAACGUGAU
rnacentral:rRNA from 1 species